rnacentral:rRNA from 1 species
GGUGAACGCUGGCGGCGUGCCUAAUACAUGCAAGUCGAGCGAACAGACGAGGAGCUUGCUCCUCUGACGUUAGCGGCGGACGGGUGAGUAACACGUGGAUAACCUACCUAUAAGACUGGGAUAACUUCGGGAAACCGGAGCUAAUACCGGAUAAUAUAUUGAACCGCAUGGUUCAAUAGUGAAAGACGGUUUUGCUGUCACUUAUAGAUGGAUCCGCGCCGCAUUAGCUAGUUGGUAAGGUAACGGCUUACCAAGGCAACGAUGCGUAGCCGACCUGAGAGGGUGAUAGGCCACACUGGAACUGAGACACGGUCCAGACUCCUACGGGAGGCAGCAGUAGGGAAUCUUCCGCAAUGGGCGAAAGCCUGACGGAGCAACGCCGCGUGAGUGAUGAAGGUCUUCGGAUCGUAAAACUCUGUUAUUAGGGAAGAACAAAUGUGUAAGUAACUAUGCACGUCUUGACGGUACCUAAUCAGAAAGCCACGGCUAACUACGUG